rnacentral:misc_RNA from 1 species
GCAUUUCAUUUAUUAAACAUUAUAAUGAAUACUUUUUACAUAAUUUCUUCAUUUUUAAUAUUAAAUUAUCCACCUAAUUUCUUUUCAUAUAGUAUUAUCUACAUUAUUGCAUCUAUGAAUUUACUAUAUCUGUAAUAAAUAUCUGUAAUCUAGUCACAAGAUGUGUAUAAAUAAAUGAAACUAUUAUGUCUAUUAUACACGUCCAUACUGCUUUUCUGUCGUACACGAAUCCGAUAUGAGGACGCAGCAAUGUUCGAUCACUUUUGCUCGCUACAUACAUAUGUAUAUGUUAUAUAUUAUAUAUAUAACACAUACGCGUGCCCUCGAAAGUUACGUCGAAAUUGGCCUCCUCUUCGUUACAUAGGUUAUUCUCAAAGAGAUGUUACGUCGUUACGCAUUACCACGCAGAUGCAUGUUACACACGCGCGUGUCAACGACACAAAGAAAUCCGAUAGACCCCUCUGUUAUUCUUUCACAUCGAUACCAGACUCGAUCACGAAGAAACAUUUUCAUUCAUACUUUAAAACUCAUUUACGGUUUCCAAACUUGAGUGUUUCAAAGUGAAAGGAUGAUAAUAAGAAUUUUUUAAUACGGAAAGAUUAAAUGUUAAAUACUACGUAAGUUUUGAUGCCGUCGGCUGACUGCGACAAAUCGAUGUAUCUGACAUAAGAGAUAUAGUAAUGUCGGGUUAACUGGCCAGAAUUUUGCCUCGCUAACUGACCGUUUCUACUUCCACCACUUCGUCAAACUGAUUUCCUGAAGGUACUCCUGUGUGUGGAAAAGAGAAGGACGCCGAAAAUGCAACAAUCGAUUACUAAAGCUCGACCUCGAUCGAGUUCCGAUUCUAUGCUAUAUUCUCACCGAAGCUGAGUCAACAUCGUGUAACCAAGUCUUCUGCAAAUACCGAUUGCGUCUUAUUUUUGAUAUUCUGUUAAUAAAUAUAUCAAUUAUACAUGUAGUUUGUACGUUGAUUCGUGUUAAUAAAAAUUCUUUCCUUUUCUUUAGGUCCGAAUAUACUUUCAAUACAUAUUUCGUGUGAAUUAUAUAUAAAGUACUAUCGAUAUCUUCCUUUUCUUGUAAUAGAUUCGUUUAUUCCCUUGCUUAAUUUUUUUAGUGUUAUUCAAAUGUGGCUUACUUUGAUAUUUAAUACUUCUUGAAAAAUAAAUGUAUAUAGGUUCUGAUAAAAAUAGUAAUAUAAUAAAUUGAGAAUAAAUUAGUAAAUGCUUGUUUUAAUACGCUUUGCGUUGCGAAAUAUAAAAUCAUAAAUGACACGCGUGAAAAUGUCCGGCCUAUUUAUUUUGUUCAUCGUAGUUGCAUGUCGGUCUGUGAUUUGGUAUAUCGAUUCGAUUAAAACGAACUCAGUUUUGUUCACACUCUCACUUUCACUUUCUACAUCAUACUGGAUUUUGUAUACUAUGUUACUUCUUUGGUCACUGAUCUAAUACAUUUCACAACUCCCUGGGCUUUUAACACACAAUACUUAAAAUGUAUAUCACAGGCACGUUUUCAGAUGCUCGCUAACGUAACUUGUUAUCGUAAAGGUUACGCGUAUGAAUCAUCAUUUCUUAUCGGUUCUUUACAACAAUUUCGAUACAUAUUUAGAUACCUGUGUUGAGUACGGUCAAGCUUCAUCGGUUUUUCCUCGACGAUGAUCGUCUAGACUUGUUCCGACCACGCUUCGUGACUUGUAUCUGCGAUAUGCAACGUUUAACAUCACCUUUCGCAUCACCGAGAAUUCGUCUAUUUUCCCCCUCUUUCAUG